ensembl:lncRNA
CUUGAGUCUUCUGUAUUCUUCACUCUUGAGGUUCUCGUUUGUGUAAGACGUUUCUUUUUUGAUUGACAGGCCCAGUGUGCUGCUCUGAUGUGUUUGGCUAUUCAGGAGGAAGUGUCACUAUAAUACCCGAUCUGCAAUGGGAUGUAAAUAAUACGAGAUAUAUUUGUAAGAUGGAACAAAGUGGCUGCCUAAAUAUAAUCAGGGACCAGACUCUGAGCAAGUCUGUUUUUAGUGGAAGAUUCGAGAUGUAUUCAAAUACAGCAGGCAACUUUAUAGCGAUGAUCAGAGAGCUAAACCCACAGGACUCUGCCGUUUACAGAUUUGGAGUUGGGAAUGAAAAGCAUAAGGACGUUGAGCUGACCGUUCAGAGUGGUGAGACAAUUUGACCUGUUGAAGCUCUUGGGUUUCUAAAAUAUUUAAGAAAAUAACGAUAUAUAUAAAUGAGACAUUGAUCCCAAACACACUCUUGUUUAAUCAGCUAAUGAAUAAACCAUAUGGUUGUUUAUAUAACUGACAGAUUCUUGUUGUGGGGGAAUUAAAAGAAUGAAAGCUUAUCUGGGAGAGACGGUCACCUUCAAAUGUAGCUAUCCAUAUGAGUUCAAGACAAACAACAAGCGGUUAAUCAACCUCAACAAUCAAACUACUGUUAAAGUGAUAAUUUACACUCGAAAAGAGGCUCAGAAAAAGCACAAUGGCAGAUUCUCCAUCGUUGAUGACAGAAGCUCUAACGUCUUCAGUGUGAACAUCAGUGAUGUGAGAGAAGAUGAUGGAGGAGUUUAUCUGUGUGGAGUGAAGAGGACAGAGAAGUCAGUGGGUUAUUACAACUAUUUCAAAGAGAUUCAACUACGAGUUACUGAAAAACCAACUGCACUACCAGAAAGUCCAAGCACAACUAUAGACCCAACUACAGCUACAACCUACUGGAGCAAAUCAGCAGCACCAGCAGAAGCAGAAACAUCUGAUGAAGAACAUCUCAGUUCCUCUGUCAUCAUCACUGUAUUUGUCUGUGUGGCUCUGUUGCUGAUUGGAGGAUCAGCACUGAUCGUCUACAAAGUGAGGAACCACAUGAUACAGGUCUCAGCCUCGACUGGCCAGAGAACAGACAAAAAUAAUGAUGAUGAUUAUGAAAAUGUUCCACAUGGAAAGCGAUACGACAUCAGCAUGAUUCCAGUCCACCAGAGCCUAAACCCCAACACAUCAGAUUUAGUCUAUGAGAACCCUGAUCCAAACACCAACCAAUCAGAUUCUGACUAUGAGAACAUAGCUGAGAACACCAACCAAUCGGAUUUCAUUAAUGAGAAUGCGAACAUCAACAGCAGUGGAUGAGGGUAUUUCACAAAGCAGGGGUUCUCAGCUACAACAUAAGAACCCGUGAUAACUGCCCAUUAGAAAUGUCCUCUUCUCUUAUUGGUCAAAACUAGACUUUUGGUUCGAGUUGUCAGAUAAAUUUACCAAAGACCUUCAAAUUCAGGUCAAUUUGAACUUUCAAUAGUCUCAGUUUUCUCCCAGCCUUAUCUUAAAAAUAAAUGUUUGUGUUUGUUUUUUGGUUUAAUGGCCUGUUUUUAUCCAGUGUAACUGUACUUGUCUAAGAUUGCCACAAAGAGAAAGAAAUCAGGAAUAAUUUAGCUGGAGUUAAAUACAUAUACCUGCAAAAUUGAGAAGCCUUAUUGCUUUAUCAGUUAAAAUUAGUUACCUUUCUAAAACUGUUUUUGAAUACAUUGACAACUUCUUGUAAUUAAUUUUAAACUAUCAAAAGCCUGAUAUCUAGAUUUUCUCUGUCAGUAUGAUCUCUAGUUGUUUUGCUAUAUAUUGAGUGCAUUUCAUUUUCAAUAAACUUAAAUCUAUCCUGGAACGUUUGUUUUCUGACUAAAAAGAUUUUUUUGUUGACACCUCUGCGCCUCCCUGGCUCCCUAGCACCAUCUCCCACUGCAACAGGGGACACUAGCAAGUGCUCCCUCUCCUGGAGAGCAAUGAGAAACUUGAAUGUUGGAGCUCCAUCAAAUUCAAAAUGAGUGAAUAUUUGCAAAAAAAAACAAAAGUUUAUCCGCUUGAACAUUAAAUAUCUUGUCUUUGUAGUGUAUUCAAUUGAACAUAGAUUGAAAAGGAUUUGCAAAUCAUCGUUUUCUGUUUUCAUUUGUUUUACACAACGUCCUAACUUCAUUGGAAUUGGGGUUGUAUAUCAUUAUAUAUAUAUAUAUAUACACAUACACACACACACACACACACACACACACAUUCUGUGGCAUCUGCCAUGGGCCAAGCUGCCGUUGGGGUGCCAUGCAAAGUGUGUUGCAAGGGAGAUGGUACCCGUCAGCUUACUCAGCUGUAAAGGCGCUUGAUGAAGGGAUUCCUACUUGCAGCUAUGAGUGAGUCUUCAAGUAUCACAGACCCGCUAACAGAGCUACACUGUGGCCUAGGGGUGUUCACCACAGCCUUGCAGUGACGCUUCAAACAGGUGCUGGUGGUGUGGUUGGACAGGCAGCUGCAUCCUGAGAGGCAGAGGCUGAAGGGAAAGUGGAUUAGUGUGUUUUGGUGGUAGACCUGAGCAUGAUGGUUUACAGAUAUACCCAACAUUCAAGAAAGCUGUGCAAGAAAAGCAGAGUUUGAACACUUACUGAGCAUGCUACUGCAGGAGGAUCCAGUACAGCACAUGAAGCACGCUGCACCAGCCAUCAUUUAAAACCACUAUCACACCAUGGCAGAGAGGACAGAAUUCAUCCUUGGUGUGGAGACACUGCAUCAGUUAACAGCACCAUGCAACACAGGAGCUUGAGGAGUAGAGGGCAUUUCGAGUGGGGCCCCCAACCAAGAGGUGGCAGAACGACU